CCGUGCGGUGCACACAGAGCGAACUAUUCUUUCGCCUUUUACUAAAGAAUACCGUGUGUGCGAAUUUCAAAUUUUAACAUUCAUUUAUGUUUUUAGAAUGAAUUUCAAUUUGAC